GAUGAACGCUAGCGGCAGGCUUAAUACAUGCAAGUCGAGGGGCAGCACGGUUAGCAAUAACUGGUGGCGACCGGCGCACGGGUGCGUAACACGUAUACAAUCUACCUUAAACAGGGGGAUAGCCUUUCGAAAGAGAGAUUAAUACCCCGUAAUAAAUUGAACGGCAUCGUUUGAUUUUGAAAGCUCCGGCGGUUUGAGAUGAGUAUGCGUCUGAUUAGCUAGUUGGUGAGGUAACGGCUCACCAAGGCGACGAUCAGUAGGGGAUCUGAGAGGACUAACCCCCCACACUGGUACUGAGACACGGACCAGACUCCUACGGGAGGCAGCAGUAAGGAAUAUUGGUCAAUGGAGGCAACUCUGAACCAGCCAUGCCGCGUGCAGGAUGACGGCCCUAUGGGUUGUAAACUGCUUUUAUACAAGAGAAAACCCUGGUACGUGUACCAGGUUGAUAGUAUUGUAAGAAUAAGCAUCGGCUAACUUCGUGCCAGCA
rnacentral:rRNA from 1 species